GCACCUUAGAGACCAGCUAAGUUUGUUCUUGGUAUGCACACAAAAACUUAUACCAAGAACAAACUUAGUUGGUUUCUAAGGUGC